AUGUUUCCAGACACCUCACGUCAGUUCGUAUUGAAGGUGGAUGCAUCCGAUUCCAGUUGUGGUGCAGUCCUGUCCCAGCUCUCACCCAAAGGUCACUGGCUCCAUACCUGUGCCUUUUACUCCUGUAGCCUGUCUCCCGCACAGAGGAAUUAUGAUGUCGGGGAUCUGGAACUCCUGGCAGUUAAACUGGUGCUGGAAGAACGGAGACACUGGUUGGAGGGAGCUGAGCAACCCAUCCUCAUUUGGACGGACCACAAAAAUCUCUCCUACCACACAGAAGCCAGGAGACUCAACCAGUCACGCUGGUCAUUGUUCUUUUCACGUUUUAACUUUCAGAUUUCCUAUAGACCAGGGUCGAAGAACACCAAACCGGAUGCCCUGUCCCGCCAGCCUUCCUCUGACCAUAAUGCCAAGCAUACUACAAUCGUUCCACCCUCCUGUGUGGUGGGCGCCCUCUGCUGGGAAAUUCACAACAAGGUUGUGGAAGCCCUCAAAACAGAACCUGACUCUGGCCAUGGUCCACCCAACAAGCUGUAUGUCCCUACCAGCGUAAGAGGUGCGCUCCUCCACUGGGCCCAUACUGCCAGGUUUUCGGUCCAUCCAUGUGUCAGUCGCAAGCUCGCCCUUAUCAAGCGCUCCUUCUGGUGGCCAUCCAUGUAUAGAGAUGUAAAGGAGUAUGUGGCGGCAUGUCAUGUCUGUGCCCGAAACAAGAGCAGCACCCAGGCUCUCCAGGGUCUGCUCCAACCCCUGCCAGUCCCCUCUAGACCCUGGUCUCACAUUGCAGUGGAUUUUGUCACAGGGCUCCCACCUUCUAAGGGUUUCAAUGUCAUCAUGACUAUUGUAGAUCAGGUUUCUAAGUCUUGUUAUUUCGUUCCUCUGAGGUCUCUGCCUUCCUCCUCUGUCACAGCUUCCCUCCUCAUUAAACAUGUUUCUAGACUUCAUGGAUUCCCUACAGAGAUCCUUUCAGACCGCGGCCCCCAGUUUGUCUCCCGUGUGUGGAAGGAGUUUGCCACCUGUCUGGUUACCAUCCCCAGUCUACUGGGCAAUGUGAGAGGCUAA
rnacentral:lncRNA from 1 species